CCCUACGGGGUGCAGCAGGCGAUCGGGUUGUUAUGAUUGGCAAUCUGCUUGCGAUAUUUCCAGAUCUUGAUGAGGCAAUCCUGGGCGAUUGCCUCAGGAUCCAGAUCCGACCUUUGGGCAAUCAAGGCAUGGAUUUUCUGGAAAACCCAGGCCGCCAGUUCCCGCAAGGCUUCUGCAUUGGGGGGAUCUCCGAGUGCCGCCCGUAUUAUCCGCUUGAACCAAUCGCUCAGGUUUUCCGAGCCGUCCGGCGCAAAACCAUUUGUAAUCUUUGACAUGCAGAUAUUUCCCGUGUUACCUCGCAAACAAUACACCAUUUGCAUGCCGACUUCUUAUGCCGCUGGCUAAUGGAUAUGACCGAGGAUACCCCUUCAAGCUAUCGUCGCCUUUUCUAUCGUCAAUUCUUUUUUGAAAUUCGUUUAUUCGUUCACGCUUACUGCAAAUGAAUUGGCGGGGGGGC
rnacentral:rRNA from 1 species